rnacentral:rRNA from 1 species
CUACGGGCCGCUGCAGUGAGGAAUAUUGCACAAUGGGGGGAACCCUGAUGCAGCAACGCCGUGUGGAGGAUGACGCAUUUCGGUGUGUAAACUCCUUUUAUAUGUCAAGAAAAUGACGGUAGCAUAUGAAUAAGCACCGGCUAACUCCGUGCCAGCAGCCGCGGUAAUACGGAGGGUGCAAGCGUUACUCGGAAUCACUGGGCGUAAAGGACGCGUAGGCGGGUUGGAAAGUCAGGUGUGAAAUCCUACAGCUUAACUGUAGAACUGCACUUGAAACUUCUAAUCUAGAGUAUGGGAGGGGGAGAUGGAAUUAGUGGUGUAGGGGUAAAAUCCGUAGAUAUCACUAGGAAUACCUAAGGCGAAGGCGAUCUCCUGGAACAUUACUGACGCUAAGGCGUGAAAGCGUGGGGAGCAAACAGGAUUAGAUACCCUAGUAGUC